rnacentral:rRNA from 1 species
GAUGAACGCUGACAGAAUGCUUAACACAUGCAAGUCGAUGGGGAAGUGGUGCUUGCACCCUGGCAACCCUGGCGGACGGGUGAGUAACGCGUAAGGGACUUACCUGCAGGACUGGGAUAACAGGGGGAAACUCCUGACAAGACCGGAUAAUGUCAUGGAGCUGCAUGGCUUUAUGAUGAAAGGAGACGCCUGCGGAGAGCCUUGCGUCCUAUUAGCUAGUUGGUGAGGUAAUGGCUCACCAAGGCGAAGAUAGGUAGCCGGCCUGAGAGGGUGGACGGCCACAAGGGGACUGAGAUACGGCCCUUACUCCUACGGGAGGCAGCAGUGGGGAAUAUUGGACAAUGGGGGCAACACUGAUCCAGCAAUUCUGUGUGCACGAAGAAGGUUUUCGGAUUGUAAAGUGCUUUCAGCAGGGAAGAAGUAAGUGACGGUACCUGCAGAAGAAGCGACGGCUAAAUACGUG